UCAGGAACAGAAGUCAGAGCUCAAGAUGACCUUCACCAUGGCCUGGACCUGUCUCUCCCUCAUAUUCCUUGUUCAGUGCACAGGGUCUUGGGCCCAGUCUGUGCUGACUCAGCCGCCCUCGCUGUCUGGGACUCCAGGACAGAGGGUCACCAUCUCCUGCACUGGAAGCAGCAGCAAUAUUGGUAGUGAUAAUGUGCAUUGGUACCAGCAGCUCCCAGAGACUGCCCCCAAACUUCUCAUCUAUGGUGAUAGUAAUCGACCCUCAGGAGUCCCUGAUCGUUUCUCUGGCUCCAAGUCUGGCAACUCUGGUUCACUGACCAUCACUGGGCUCCAGCCUGAGGAUGAGGCUGUCUAUUACUGUCAGUCUUAUGAUUACAGCCUUAAUGCUCUCACAGUGUUCCAGGCUCAUGGGGAAGCAGCUUGUUCUCAGAUUCAUAGUGGUUUGAAGGCUCUUCUGAUUCAUGUUGUCAUGUUUGCCAUGCCACCUAGUUCAGCACCCACAGAGGAAGGUGUCAGGGAUGGUUACCUCCAGUGA